UACGUAGGGUGCAAGCGUUGUCCGGAUUUAUUGGGCGUAAAGAGCGUGUAGGCGGCCAGGUAGGUCUGCUGUGAAAACUCGAGGCUUAACCUCGAGCUGUCGGCGGAAACCAUCUGGCUAGAGUCCGGAAGAGGAGAGUGGAAUUCCCGGUGUAGCGGUGAAAUGCGCAGAUAUCGGGAAGAACACCCGUGGCGAAGGCGGCUCUCUGGGACGGUACUGGACGCUGAGA
rnacentral:rRNA from 1 species